rnacentral:rRNA from 1 species
AUUGAACGCUGGCGGCAUGCCUAACACAUGCAAGUCGAACGGCAGCAUGACCUAGCUUGCUAGGUUGAUGGCGAGUGGCGCACGGGUGAGUAAUGCGUAGGAAUAUGCCUUGAAGUGGGGGAUAACCUGGGGAAACUCAGGCUAAUACCGCAUGAGCUCUAAGGAGGAAAGCUGGGGACCGAAAGGCCUGGCGCUUCAAGAUUAGCUUACGUCCGAUUAGCUAGGUGGUAGGGUAAAGGCCUACCAAGGCGACGAUCGGUAGCUGGGCUGAAGGGAUGCACGGGCACACUGGGACGGAACCACGGCCCAGACUCCUACGGGAGGCAGCAGUGGGGAAUAUUGGACAAUGGGGGCAACCCUGAGCCAGCGAUGCCGCGUGUGUGAAGGAGGCUUGCGGGUUGUAAUGCACUUUCAGUGGGGAGGAGGACUUUGAGGUUAAGAGCUGCUAAGUUGGACAUUACCCACAGAAGAAGCACCGGCUAACUCCGUGCCAGCAGCCGCGGUAA